CCUCCUUUCUAAGAGAAAGAUAAACUAAGGCUAAUUCCAUUAACUCUUCCCUACUCUUUUCUUUUGAUAAGAGAGUUUUUAAAACCAGUGUUAUUUAUGUAAGUUUAAGAGAAGUUUAUGUAUUAAAUUAUUGAUAUUAAAUAGUUUUAUUAGGCUUAGACUUAAUUUUAGGUCAUUUUGGGGGUUUAGCUCAGUUGGCUAGAGCAUCGGCUUUGCAAGCCGAGGGUCAAGGGUUCGAGUCCCUUAACCUCCAUUGGGCUUAUGCCCUAAAUUGUAAUUAAGUAUGUUUUUAAGUAACUUUGUUAAAGUAAUUGUUGGAAUGUGAAACACAAGAAGUUAAAAUUUCUGGGUUAAGUUGAGAUCUGUUGAUAUUAAGAAAAAUGUCUAGAAGCAAAAGCAAGCUUUCGAUAAAACCCGAAGUUGUUUCGCUAAAGUGCAAGGAUUAAACAGGAUUGUAUUUUUCAGCAGCCUAUUUUAUAAACGAUCUGCAUUUAGUAAAUAGUUUUUAGUUAGGAAAUAAUGUAGAUUACUAAGUGUGAUGUCUGAGAGAAGGACAAGUAUUGUAGCGAGCUUAAAUCCUUAUUAUCGUUGC
rnacentral:misc_RNA from 1 species